rnacentral:rRNA from 1 species
UACGUAGGGGGCAAGCGUUGGUCCGGAAUCAUUGGGCGUAAGCAGCGUGUAGGCGGCUCGAUAAGUCUGCUGUGAAAGUCCAGGGCUCAACCUGGAAUGCCGGUGGAACUGUCGAGCUAGAGUCCGGAAGAGGCGAGUGGAAUUCCUGGUGUAGCGGUGAAAUGCGCAGAUAUCAGGAGGAACACCCGUGGCGAAAGCGGCUCCUCUGGGACGGUACUGACGCUGA